GACGAACGCUGGCGGCGUGCUUAACACAUGCAAGUCGAACGCUGAAGCUCAGCUUUUGUUGGGUGGAUGAGUGGCGAACGGGUGAGUAACACGUGAGUAACCUGCCCCCUUCUUUGGGAUAACGCCCGGAAACGGGUGCUAAUACUGGAUAUUCACUGGUCUUCGCAUGGGGGUUGGUGGAAAGGGUUUUUCUGGUGGGGGAUGGGCUCGCGGACUAUCAGCUUGUUGGUGGGGUGAUGGCCUACCAAGGCUUUGACGGGUAGCCGGCCUGAGGGGGUGACCGGUCACAGUGGGACUGAGAUACGGCCCAGACUCCUACGGGGGGCAGCAGUGGGGAAUAAUGCACAAUGGGCGCAAGCCUGAUGCAGCGACGCCGCGUGAGGGGUGGAGGCCUGCGGGUUGUGAACCUCUUUCGCUCAUGGUCAAGCCGCAACAAUGGUUGUGGUGAGGGUAGUGGGUAAAGAAGCGCCGGCUAACUACGUG
rnacentral:rRNA from 1 species